rnacentral:rRNA from 1 species
AUUGAACGCUGGCGGCAUGCCUAACACAUGCAAGUCGAACGGCAGCAUGGUACUAGCUUGCUAGUACUGAUGGCGAGUGGCGGACGGGUGAGUAAUGCGUAGGAAUCUGCCUCAAAAUGGGGGAUAACUCGGGGAAACUCGGGCUAAUACCGCAUAAUCUCUACGGAGCAAAGAAGGGGACCUUCGGGCCUUUCGUUUUGAGAUGAGCCUACGCCGGAUUACGCUAGUUGGUAGGGUAAAGGCCUACCAAGGUUAUGAUCCGUAGCUGGUCUGAGAGGACGGCCAGCCACACUGGGACUGAGACACGGCCCAGACUCCUACGGGAGGCAGCAGUGGGGAAUAUUGGACAAUGGGGGCAACCCUGAUCCAGCAAUGCCGCGUGUGUGAAGAAGGCCUUCGGGUUGUAAAGCACUUUUAGUGGAGAAGAAAAGUUCGAGGUUAAUACCUUCGAACCUUGACGUUACCCAAAGAAAAAGCACCGGCUAACUCUGUGCCAGCAGCCGCCGUAAAAC